GAACAUCUUGGCCAUGUUCUGUUAUAAUCUCCACCCGGCACAGCCAGAAGAGGACUGGCCACCCCUCAUAUCCUGGUUCCUCUCUAGGCUUCUUCCAAGGUUUUGGCCUUUCUAGGGAGUUUUUCCUAGCCACCAUGCUUCUACACCUGCAUUACUUGCUGUUUGGGGUUUUAGGCUAGGUUUCUGUACAGCACUUUGAGAUAUCAGCUGAUGUAAGAAGGGCUAUAUAAAUACAUUUGAUUUGAAGUUUUGAUUUGAUAAACCGAGUGUAGCAGCAGCGUAAAAGAGGGUGUGGGGGGAAGUCGAGGUAGCCAAUGUUCAGGAGGCUAAUUGAGGUAAUAUGUUCCUGAGUGUAUAGUUAAAGUGGCAUCUACUCACCACCGCUCAUGCUGUAAACACAGUCCAGUUCAAAGUAAAUAGCACAGAUCCAUAUAUGGAAAUGGUCUAUUUGCAUAUAGGCCUACUGCAGCUCUGAUUUGUUUAUGCCACACCGGUCUAUGUAAAGUAUUUGCUGAGUAGUGUGUGUCAAUGAAAUAGAAUUCUACUCAGAUGCGUUCUGCCUACAACAAAAUCUCUUGCGUCGUUUGUUUUGUUUCGGAAUGUUGCAUUGAAAGUGGCUAUUUGAUUCGAUCCCAAUUGCCACAGUAAAGGGAAAUGUUGAUAGUGUUAACAAGGAAAACUCUAGAACAGUGGUCACCAACCUUUCAAGUGUACUUUGAGUCAAAAUGCAAGCUGAGAUCUACCGCUCAGAUAGUUUUUUUAACAUGACUUACGUAUGCAAUAAUUACAUUUUUAACAUGACUUACAUAUGCAACAUUAACCAAUUAAAAACAGUACUGUAGAAAUGAGGUUUGUGCAGUAAGCUAUAGGCCCAAUACAUUAUCACUGCAUAUUGGUGUUGCUUGAAUUGCCCUGCCAAUGAAUGCAUUGUUGUUCGCCGCAUUUUUUAAAAUAGGCUACAUGGUCACACCAGUAAUGGAUGCAUUUUUAUUUUACUUGGCUCAUGGUGCCUGCAUCUGAUGGUCAGUCUCAGUAGACUGAGGGUCCGCCUCUCAACAUCACGCCACUCUCCCUUUCCUCCACUGACCAAAAAGGGACACUGCCUUCCAGCUGAUGGUAAAACUCGAGUCGCACCACAUUAUUUCUGCCUCAUGCAAAUAUUCAUGUUACUCCUAUGAACAGAGAAAGUAAAAUAUUCCUCGAUAUUAAAGACCCAAGCCGCUAAUAAUAACAACUCAAGCCUAUCGAUACACUUUCCUACUCAUUCAUUACUGCUGCUGUGCUAGUUGUAGCGCUGAGUGGAAAUAGGAAGAAAGCACAUUUUAUGGCUUAUAAAAGUGUUGAAUACAAAGUCUUGACAGUGCUGAGUAAGAACUUAAACAUGAAUUCACUCAUAAAAACAGCAUCUCUUUGCCAUUUUGAACCAUUUCAUGUGUCUGAAGGUACAAACUCUGCCUUCCCGGCGGGCCCAGAGAGCUGCAGACACAGUCAUCUGAGCAGUAGGCCUAUAGUGCAUUUGAUUUGCUCUCUGGGCCCAUCGGAGAAGGCAGAGUUUGCUUCUCUCUGCCUGCUCCCAGAGGCAGUUUGGAACUCGGUAGUGAGUGUUGCAACCCAGGACAGACAAUUUUUACGCACUUCAGCACUCGGCAGUCCCAUUCUGUGAGCUUGUACCACUUCGCGGCUGCGCUGUUGUUGCUCUUAGUUAUUUCCACUUCACAAUAACAGCACUUACAGUUGACCGGGGCAGCUUUAGCAGGGCAGAAAUUUAACGAACUGACUUUUUGGAAAGGUGGCAUCCUAUGACGGCGCCACAUGGGCACUGUGAAUGUUAGCCUAUGGCGAUUGCAUGGCUUUGUGCUCGAUUUUAUACACCUGUCAGCAACGGGUGUGGCUGAAAUAGACAUCAUUAAGGUUUUCGGACCAUUAUUUCAAGUGAAAAACAUGAAUAAAUGCGUGGUCUCAAAUAUUAAACAUUUAAGGUUAAGUUACAUUAUAAUAAAUAUCUUUGUUUUUUCACUGGAUGACCCCUCAUUUUGAAUGACUUAAAAAUGUCGGGAAAAGGGGAGAUGGUUUGUUAAAGAAGAUUGGUAGAAAGACUAAGCAGAGUGAGCUGUACGUCCUCAUUCACUUCCAUUUCUGUUGUGUUCGAUCCAACGAAGUAUCAGAGGGGGUAGGUGUGGUGAACCCACGCCAUCUGAUGCCCCGUGGGGUUCACCACACGCCAUGGUGAUUUGUUUGAAUCCGUAACUAUGUGGCAGAGUGCGAAGUAGGUACAUGUCCUUCUUGUUUCUGUAUUGGGUGACGGGACCAUAGCUCAUUAUGUGGAGUGUCAUGAUUUGUGGAUUUUUGUUCAUGACAUCUCUUAGGACAGACUCCAGGUGAGCCCAUACUGCUCUCUCAUCAUGUCUAAGCGAGUCAGAUAUGGUGGCGUAGGACUGGCUUCCUUCCGAUCGCAGUAAUCUGUAUCCUGACGAUAAAGGCAUCUGCAAAUUGACCCUCAAUUAAUAUAGAUAGGUUAGUAGUUGUUUACAUAAACUUAUUUUCAGUAUUAGCUGCUUGAUGUGCUAUACUAUAAAAAAAAUGUUUGACAUAAAACACCCUUAUCCUACAAAAACUUGUAGAUGAAUAGAUAACUUAAUACAAAGACAAAUAUAUUGACACCAUUCAGUAGAACCAUUUAGUCAUUUAAUUUUUUAAAAUUUAACUAGGCAAGUCGGUGAAGAACAAAUUCUUAUUUACAAUGACGGCCGAGGAACAGUGGGUUAACUGCCUUGUUCAGGGGCAAAAUUACAGAUUUUUACCUUGUCAGCUCAGGGAUUUGAUCAAGCAACAUCUUGGUUACUGGCCCAACGCUCUAACCGCGAGGCUACCUGCCGCCCCCGUCAUAGGGUGUAACCGGAAUUUCUGAUGACUCCGAAUGCUUACCUUAGUUCCACCGUGUGUACCCAUGUGAACACUUGACUUUGACAUCAAGUAAUUUCUAAACGUUGAAAAGGAUAAGUAUGAAAAUACCCGUAAAUAAGUAUAGAGCCGGGAAUUUAAAGUUAGAGCGAAAUUUCGUAUAGAGACAAAUUUAAAGUUUAGCUUCACUGUCCAGAUAAAUACGUAGAGGAGUAUAGGCCCGGAUUCAAUACAAGGUGUUAUAGAGCAGCAUAAUAUAACAAACUUCUAAUAGUAAAUUACGCUUGAGCCGACAUGUGUAGCGCUAACAAUUAAUGCAGUCUCUGCGAACGUCAGGGGAAAAUGCCUUUUUAAAGGCGCAUUGUUGGCUGUUUAGUGCGCUACACUAUAACGCAACUUUCAUUGAAUCCCAGCCAUCAGCGAUGUAGUGGUAAAAAAAAUAGUUGGGUAAACGCUGAUUGGCGUUUGCGGUAAGUAAACACUCCCUUUACUUUGAAUGCAUUUUCCUGCUAAAGGUGGGUAAAUGCUCACACAAAUUGAAUAAAAAGGUUUGUAAACUGCCAGCCAUAGAUUACUACACACGUUGAUCAGUAGCUUAGCCGUUAUAUUGCACCUGGUAUUGAUCCCCUGUUCCCUCCCAGAUGAAGACUUGUUCCAUGUGUGAGAACAGAACGGGCUACUGCUCUAGAGCAUGACCCCUCUCCCAGUGCUAGCUGGGAAGGAGGUCAAAAGCACGGCCGACCACGUCCUUGAGACGUUCUACCCCAUCUCUCCCACCAUCGAACUGCAGUGUGUCCAGGUCUACCAGGAGCAGAACCGUAAGAUUCCUCCAGGUCUGUCGGGGUACAAGUCUAAAACGUUCCAGAGGUUCCUGUCCCUAUAUCUGAAUGGAGCUGUGUGAGCUGCAAAAAUCAGCGCCUAAACAACAACAAUAACCUUCCCAUUUCUACUGUCAAUACUGUCAUAUCUGAAAAUAAAGAGACCCUAGAUAAUCUA